rnacentral:lncRNA from 1 species
GGCAACCUCAUGAGUUGACUCAGGUUCAGAGGCAUGCUUUUCAUAUUUUUCAUGCCUUCAUAAAAGAAGUUCAGAGUCACUCCAGUCCUAACAUCUCAUAUGCCAAGUGUUCCGAAUUUAUCCCUGGAGGGUACACUGUGGUUAGUACACUAUGUGCUUAAUGAGUCUCUGUUUGGGGAUAAAGCUUGACUCUGAACUUCUUCAAAUCUGAACUGUGAUUGUUUUCCCAAUAGUGCUGAAUGUUGAAGAAAAGCUUAUCAAGGAAUGAAAUUUCAAAUGGAAUAUAGAGGAAGAUACACAAAAAUUUAUCAAAAAUGGGAUAUUGAAGUGUUGCUGGUGGAAUUGAUGCUGACCACCUAUCCCAACAACCUCAAAGCAUGUAAUUUGUUCUAUCUGCUAGUAAGACAUCUUGCAUAAAGUUUCAGCAAUUUAAAAGAUUGUCUCCAAUUACCCUCUGUGAUUUAAUAAUUUAUCUGCCUUUUAAUGUCUCUUAGAUGCAAAAAGUUAUUUCUAUUGAUUCUCAGAUUGUAAAAUAAAUAUGAAUAUUUUGACACUUCUUACUACACAAUUUUUGGUGGGAGAGAACAACAGGUCACUUGCAUUUUUGCCUUUAGUGCCCCUUUAGGAGAGGUAGAAAGUAUGGUUUCUUCUGAAUUCACGGGAAGGAAAGGUUAGGAGACUUGGGUAUGAGUCUGUGAAAAAGUGAGCAGAAAUGUCUAUGGUUCUAUUCUUCUGGGUCCAGUCGCUAUUACAUUUCUCAGAAUAAUAGUUUGAUAUUGGUUUCCCCAUACUCCUAUUAAACUUGAAAAUUUUAUUUAAAUUUUUGUAUGGAAAUAUCUUCUGUAGAAUGUGAUUGUUCUCAUGAAUACUUUUCUUCCACACCAAAUACCUGCC